ACACUCCUGCGGGAGGCAGCAGUGGGGAAUUUUGGACAAUGGGCGAAAGCCUGAUCCAGCAAUGCCGCGUGAGUGAAGAAGGCCUUCGGGUUGUAAAGCUCUUUUGUCAGGGAAGAAACGGUGAGAGCUAAUAUCUUUUGCUAAUGACGGUACCUGAAGAAUAAGCACCGGCUAACUACGUGCCAGCAGCCGCGGUAAUACGUAGGGUGCAAGCGUUAAUCGGAAUUACUGGGCGUAAAGCGUGCGCAGGCGGUUUUGUAAGUCUGAUGUGAAAUCCCCGGGCUCAACCUGGGAAUUGCAUUGGAGACUGCAAGGCUAGAAUCUGGCAGAGGGGGGUAGAAUUCCACGUGUAGCAGUGAAAUGCGUAGAUAUGUGGAGGAACACCGAUGGCGAAGGCAGCCCCCUGGGUCAAGAUUGACGCUCAUGCACGAAAGCGUGGGGAGCAAACAGGAUUAGAUACCCCGGUAGUCCCAUGAU
rnacentral:rRNA from 1 species